rnacentral:rRNA from 1 species
AUUGAACGCUGGCGGCAGGCCUAACACAUGCAAGUCGAGCGGAUGAAGGGAGCUUGCUCCUGGAUUCAGCGGCGGACGGGUGAGUAAUGCCUAGGAAUCUGCCUGGUAGUGGGGGAUAACGUCCGGAAACGGGCGCUAAUACCGCAUACGUCCUGAGGGAGAAAGUGGGGGAUCUUCGGACCUCACGCUAUCAGAUGAGCCUAGGUCGGAGUAGCUAGUUGGUGGGGUAAAGGCCUACCAAGGCGACGAUCCGUAACUGGUCUGAGAGGAUGAUCAGUCACACUGGAACUGAGACACGGUCCAGACUCCUACGGGAGGCAGCAGUGGGGAAUAUUGGACAAUGGGCGAAAGCCUGAUCCAGCCAUGCCGCGUGUGUGAAGAAGGUCUUCGGAUUGUAAAGCACUUUUAGUUGGGAGGAAGGGCAGUAAGUUAAUACCUUGCUGUUUUGACGUUACCAACAGAAUAAGCACCGGCUAACUUCGUG